rnacentral:rRNA from 1 species
GAAAGAACACCAACAGCGAAAGCACUCUGCUAGGACGACACUGACACUGAGAGACGAAAGCUAGGGGAGCAAAUCGGAUUAGAGACCCCCGUAGUCCUAGCCAUAAACGAUGGAUACUAGGUCCUGUGCGACUCGACCCGUGCAGUGAUUUAGCUAAUGCGUUAAGUAUCCCGCCUGGGGAGUACGUUCGCAAGAAUGAAACUCAAAGGAAUUGACAGGGGCCCGCACAAGCGGUGGAGCAUGUGGUUUAAUUCGAUGCAAAGCAAAGAACCUUACCAGGGCUUGACACGCCGCGAAUCCUCUUGAAAGAGAGGGGUGGCCUCGGGAACGCGGACAAAGGUGGUGCAUGGCUGGCGUCAUCUCAUGCCGUAAGGUGUUGGGUUAAGUCUUUCAACGAGCGCAACCCUCGUGUUUAGUGCCACUAUGAGUUUCGAACCCUGAACAGACCACCGGUGUUAAGCUGGAGGAAGGAGAGGAUGAGGCCAAGUCAUCAAGCCCCUUAUGCCCUGGGCGACACACGUGCUACAACGGGCAGGACAAAGGGUCACGAUCUCGCGGGGGUGAGCUAACUCCAAAAACCCGUCCUCAGUACGGAUUGCAGGCUGCAACUCGCCUGCAUGAAGCAGGAAUUGCUAGUAAUCGCUGGUCAGCCAUACGGCGGUGAAUCCAUUCCCGGGCCUUGUACACAUCGCCCGUCGCACUAUAAGAGCUGGCCAUGUUUGAAGUCAUUACCCUUAACUGUAAGGAGGGGGAUGCCUAAGGCUAGGCUUGCGACU